rnacentral:lncRNA from 1 species
CCAUAUGAACUUGAGAAACAAUGCAAGAACGGCCAAUCAUGCAAAAGUUACAUGCUUUCCUUAUUCUAAGAAGCACUACAAGUACAGAACACAAGCACUAGACUCUGUCAAUAAAGGAACAAGAGCCAGCUGGAAUCAUAUUGUGUUUUUUUUAUAUAUAUAAUGUUGAUAAUUGCAAGACAAUAAAAGGAGAACCAACAAAGUCAAAGUAUCACGAAGGAGGUGACCCAUUCAAGCUGAAAUCAUUUUGCUUCUAACAACAGGAAAGGUGAAAAUAUCUAAUAUUUCAUAGAUAGGGAUCCAACUAGGCGACCUCCAUGAUCGGUGGAUCAUACAAAAUAAUGGGCCUACUUCAUUUGCAGUUUCACCAAUCUCUGGAGACUGGGGUAAACGAAAUAGCAAAAUGAUAAUUGAAAAUAACAGAGUAAUGAAAAAGAGGUUGUAUAUUCAGUAAGUGUGUUUGUACAGAAUGGCUAGCCAUUAUAUAGAGACAGAUUCGAACUAUUCUAGGAAUGUCAACUAUACAUUAAAAUGAUCCUAAGAUCAUGCUAGGCUGAUCUGGUGCAUUGAUCCCGAUCCACAAUUUUCUCCUUAAUGAGAUUCAUUUCCUUUUAACACUCCCCCUCAAGUUGGAGUAUGAAUGUCUAUGACACCCAACUUGCUGAGAUGUGUAUGAAACGCUGGCGAUCUCAAUGGUUUUGUGAAUAAAUCUGCAAUUUGCUUUCCAGUUUGAACAUACGCUGUCUUGACUUCUCCUCUUUGAAUUCUUUCUCGAAUUGUAUGACAAUCUAGUUCAAUAUGCUUUGUUCGUUCGUGAUAAACUGGAUUUGCGGCAAUGUGUAAAGCUGCCUGAUUAUCACAAAACAACUUUGCUGGUCCAGGGUGUGAUACUCCCAAAUCUUUCAAUAAGUACCUCAACCAGGUAAGCUCACAAGCAGCUGCAGCCAUGGAGCGAUAUUCCGCCUCCGCUGAUGAUCUUGAUACUGUUGUCUGCUUUCUACUUUUCCAAGACACAAGUGAUUUUCCAAGGAAGUUGCAAUAUCCUGUUACAGAUCGUCGUGUAAUUGGACACCUUGCCCAGUCUGCAUCACAAUACCCUAUCAAGUGGAGCGGGCUCUCUGAAGGAAAUAAUAACCCUUGUCCUGGGGCUGCUUUCAAGUAAUGGAGGAGUCGAUGAGCAGUCUUGAGAUGAUGUAGUUUUGGUUCCUGCAUGAAUUGACUGAGUGUGUUCACGGAGUACGUGAUUUCUGGUCUGCUAAUUGUGAGGUAGAUCAAUUUUCCAACUAGAUGUCGGUAUCUAGUAGGGUCUUUAAGUGCCGCACUCCCUGUAUCUGUUAACACUAAGUCAGGCUCCAUGGGUACCUUAGCUGGCUUUGCUCCAAGUAACCCAACUUCCUCUAAUAUGUCUAACGUGUAUUUUCGUUGACAUACUGUAAUCCCUGUCUUGGAUCGUGCAACCUCGAUCCCAAGAAAGUAUUUUAAUGGUCCAAGAUCUUUAAUUUUGAAGCAACUGUUGAGAAACAUCUUGAGAUCAUUAAUAGCCUUUUCAUCAUUCCCAGUAACAACCAUAUCAUCGACGUAAAGUAAUAUGAUUGUAAUGGAAUCCCCACGGACCUGUGUAAAAAGUGAAUAGUCAGCACGAGAUUGUUGGAAUCCAAUUUCUUGGAUUGCACAUGAGAAUCUGCGAAACCAACUACGAGAUGCUUGCUUAAGGCCAUAAAGUGACUUAUGGAGUCGACAAACUGUAUUCUCCCCCUGUCGACGAUAACCUGGAGGUGGGAGCAUAUAUACUUCUUCACUGAGCUCUCCAUGUAAGAAAGCAUUUUGGACAUCCAUCUGAUGUAAUGGCCAGUGCCUAACAGCAGCUACUGCGAGGAGGCAGCGGACGGUGGUUAUUUUGGCAACUGGGGCGAAGGUGUCUUUGUAAUCGAUACCUUCGCGUUGUGUAAACCCCUUUGCAACAAGCCUGGCUUUGUAACGCUCGAUGCUGCCAUCAGCUUUGUACUUGAUCUUAAAAACCCACUUGCAACCGAUGGGUCGGUGGCCAGGGGGUAAAGGAACAGUGGACCAAGUGUGAUUGUCCUCAAGAGCUGUAAUUUCAGCAGUCAUGGCAGCAACCCACUGGGGAUCAUGACGAGCCUGCUCAUAAGUGGCUGGCUCAACCAGGCGAGAUAUAUUACUCACAAAGGAACGAUAUGGACUAGAGAGGCCAGAGUAGGAGACAUACCGUUGGAGUGGAUAACGUGUGCCAGACAUGGAUGCAGAGGAGACAUCAGGGCCAAGGACAGCAGCAUGAUAGGUUUGGAAAUCUUGGAGGUAAGGUGGAGGCCGAUGAAGGCGGGUGGAAUGGCGAGGUUCAGGGAGGGUUGGUAUUGGGUCGACCGUGGGGGGUUCAGUGACGUUGGUUAAGGAGGACACAGAUGGAUCAAUGGAUGUUGACGGGAUGGAUGACUGUGGUGUCGUCACAGGAGGUUCUAAUGGGACAGUGGUUGUGGUGUGAGGGCGACGAGAGUAAACAUUGAGUGGGGUUGGGUGAGGAGUGGCAACCGUCGGAGGGGAAACAAGGAGAGGAGAUGUAUUGUGGGAGGGGGAGGGUGGUUCAAGAUUUGGUUGGGUGGAAGGCUGAUUAGAUAAUGUGGGUUGAGGAUGGGUGAUGGUCUCAGGUAAUGUGGCUAGGCUACUGGGGAUAGGCAAAACUGGGUUGUCGUCUAGAUUUUCUGGUGGUAGCUUAGUGAAGGGAAAUGUAUGUUCAUGGAAAGUGACAUCUCGUGAGGUAAAAAAUUUCUUGCUUUCAAGAUCAUAAACACGAUAUCCUUUUUGGCCAUGAGGAUAUCCAAUGAAAAUGCAACGGCGAGCACGACAAUCAAGUUUAUGAUCAGGGGUGAGAUUUGUGGCAUAACAUAGGCAACCAAAAACCCGAAGAGUAGAGUAGUUGGGUGGAGUGUGGUAUAAAAGUUCAUAUGGGGAUUUGUGAGAAAGCAGGGGAGUAGGUAGACGGUUGAUAAGGUAACAUGAUGUUUGGACACUUUCCCCCCAAAAUUGUAGUGGUAAAUUGGCUUGAAAGCGAAGGGCUCGGGCUACAUUUAGAAGAUGACGGUGUUUGCGCUCAACCACUCCAUUUUGUUGAGGGGUAUAAGCACAUGUGUGUUGGAAAAUGGUACCACGUUCAUCAAGAAAAGAACGUAGUGAAGUGAAUUCACCCCCAUUAUCUGCACGUAAAAUUUUGAUGUCCCUAUUAAAUUGUGUUUUUACCCAAGAGAAAAAGGACUUUAUCAAUGAUUGGGUGUUGGAUUUAAGACUCAUGAGGUGUACCCAGGUGAAACGAGUAAAGUCAUCAACAAUCGUUAAAAAAUAACGAGCCCCAGAAUGUGUAUGGAUUUUGUGUGGUCCCCAAACAUCACAAUGAACUAAAUCAAAUGGUGCAAUGGUAUUUAUUGAGCUUGUAGGAAAAGAUAAACGAGUUUGUUUUGCCAGAGGACAAAUCUCGCAGACAUGCUUAUUAUUAAAAACAAUAUCAGGGAAAGAUUGGGAUAAAUGGUGGAGGGGAGCAGCAGAUGGGUGUCCGAGUCAAUUUGCUUACAGAUAUUAAGUUCACACGAAAAUUAGGCACAUGGAGGACUCCAUCAAGAGAUAAGUCUGAUGACAAUUGAAUAGACCCUAUACUGUUGAUGCGUGUCUGUUCUCCAUUAGGUAAACCAACAAAGUCAUGAAUCAAUUUCUUUUUGUUAUGCGUUGGUGGUAAUUGUGAUACAUGAUCUGUUGCUCCACUGUCCACUAUCCAAUAUAAAGUUGAAUGUGUAUUAAAAUUAUCAUAAUUGGGUGUAGCAAUACCUGUUGCGUUUGUAAAUGGUUGAUUGUUACCGUUUUUCAGUAAUGCCAUGAUUUGCUUAUACUCUUCAGCUGUGAAGGUUGGGCUUUCAUCAGUCGACUCCCUCUUCAUCUCAAUGUUGUUGAUUGCUGUCUUCUUAUUUCUUGGCUUCAUGUUUUUAUUAUGCCAUUUGUGGCCAAUUGGAAACCCAAUUAGAUAAUAACAUUGAUCAACCAAAUGUCCUCCUUGCUCACAGUGGGUGCAGAACUUCCUGCUGCCAAACGAAGUCACCGUCUGUGAUCCUCCCCGUCGUGCAACCUGCAUCGCAUGGGAGGCCGGCACGAUGGAAUUGCGUGCUGCUACCUCCAUUUGCCUCUCUUGUUGGAGAAUAAGGCCAUGGGUUCUUCGUGUAUCGGGUAGGGGGUUCAUCAUCAAGAUCGACCCACGGAUUUGGGAAUAGGGUUCGUUAAGCCCCAUUAAAAAUUGCAUCACCUUCUCCUUCUCUUCUCUGUCAGCAAGCUUUUUCAGCAUGUCGCAAGAGCAAGGGAUGGGUUCCUGGUAAGACCCUAAUUCAUCCCAAAGCCCUUUGAGUUUCGUAUAAUAGGCAGAUAUGGAGAGGGACCCUUGACGACAUUCAACAAUUUCUUGUCGUAUUUGGUAGAUUCUGGAUUCGUCUCCUUGGGAAAAUCUGUCUUUGAGGUCGUUCCAAAUCACGGCUGCCGUAUCUGAGUAGAUGACGCUACGAGCUAUCUCUGGUUGAACAGAAUUAAGGAUCCAGGACACCACCAGAUCAUUGCAGCAUUGCCAUAAUGGGAAUUUUGCAUCAUUUGUUGGUGGAGCUUCUAUGGAUCCAUCGAUGAGACCAAGUUUGUUUUUGGCGCUGAGGCUGCGACGCAUUGAACGACACCAUUCCCCAUAGUUGCGUCCAUUCAAAAGUGUGCUGACCAGGGUGAGUCCUGGUGUGUCUGAAUGAUGUAGAGCCAAAGGAUCAGGUAAGGAAAUCCCUCUCUCUUCUCUGUUCUGUGAUGUGAAAUCUGUGGAUUUGUCUAGGAUUUCAGUUGUGUUGAUUCCUGUGUUGGCCAUGUUGUCAAUACAAUGGUGUUUGUGAUUUGGUUGUAGCGGAAGAUGUUAGGCUAGAGACACUAGAACCAGCGCUCUGAUACCAUAAACGAAAUAGCAAAAUGAUAAUUGAAAAUAACAGAGUAAUGAAAAAGAGGUUGUAUAUUCAGUAAGUGUGUUUGUACAGAAUGGCUAGCCAUUAUAUAGAGACAGAUUCGAACUAUUAUAGGAAUGUCAACUAUACAUUAAAAUGAUCCUAAGAUCAUGCUAGGCUGAUCUGGUGCAUUGAUCCCGAUCCACAAUUUUCUCCUUAAUGAGAUUCAUUUCCUUUUAACAUGGGGAAAGAAAAAAGGCUAAUGAAAAGGUCAUGUUUUAGCAUUAGCAGACUACAAAAUCCACAAAAGCAAACCAUUAAGUAGAAUGAAAAGAAAAUGUACAUUAUAUUAUAUGCCUCCAGGGUGUUUGAAAAUGUAGUAGAAGUUUCUUU